rnacentral:rRNA from 1 species
AGUGAACGCUGGCGGCGUGCCUAAUACAUGAAAGUCGAACGAAGUGGCGCACGGGUGAGUAAUAUAUAGUUAAUCUGCCCUACACAGAGGAACAACAGUUGGAAACGACUGCUAAUACCUCAUAGUGUAGGAUGAGACUAUAUGGUAUCAGCUCGUUGGUAAGGUAAUGGCUUACCAAGGCUAUGACGCGUAACGGUUCUGAGAGGAUGAUCAGUCACAUUGGAACUUAGACACGUGUCAAUCUCCUACGGGCGGCACCAGUAAGUAAGAUUGCGCAAUGUGGUAAACCCUUACGCAGCAACGCCGCGUGGAGGAUGACACUUUUCGGAGCGUAAACUCCUUUUAUCAGGAAAGCGGUACCUGAUGAAUAAGCACCGGCUAACUCCGUGCCAGCAGCCGCGGUAAUAC